GGAGGGAUACCAAAGUGGUCAACUGGGGCGGACUGUAAAUCCGCUGGCUUUGCUUCGUAGGUUCGAAUCCUACUCCCUCCA
rnacentral:tRNA from 1 species